CGCUCAGGUGGCCUAGUGUCUAGAGCGUCCGCUUCAGAUGCGGGAAGUCGCGGGUUCAAACCCCAGCCGAGUCA